rnacentral:tRNA from 1 species
GGGCCUGUAGCUUAGCCUGGUGGAGCGCCGGUCUUAUAAGCCGGUGGUCGCCGGUUCAAAUCCGGCCAGGCCCA